UUAAGAUUUAAAUAAAUUAUAGAAGAUUAAUAGUUAUGUUCUUUAAAUUUAAAAAAAUUGGCGGUAUUUAAAUCUAAUCAGGGGAACUUGUUUUUUAAUUGAUAAUCCUCAAAGUACCUUACUUUAAUUUAAAAUUUAUUUAUUGCCGUUAUCAGAUUAUUUUUUAAAAAAAGAAAUUUUCUUAAAUAUUUAAAUAUAUUUAUUUCAGGUCAUUAUGUAGUUUAUAUUAAAGUUAAAAUGAGUUACAGUAAUUUUUUAUUAUAUUGGAUAUUAUAUUGAAAUAUAUAAUUAAAAUUGGACUUGAUAGUAAAUAAAAAUUAUUAAGUUUUAUUGAAUUAAGAAUUAAAUAUGU
rnacentral:rRNA from 1 species